rnacentral:sRNA from 1 species
AACCGUAGGCCAGGGAAACAGAUGAGCUUUACUCAUCUGCCCUAUAGAUCGCAAGGUCUGAAAGGGGAACUUUACAUGUAUGAAGUAUUUAUGGCAUUUGUCCUGUUCUCCUGGCUUAUAAAGCUAGACUGACAUGUCAGAUGUGACCAUUACCCACAUCAUACUUCUCAACAGAGAAGAAAGUUUGGUGGUAACAGUAAUUUUAAACCUUAAUAAAACAUUUUCUUUGGAUUCACAAAUUUGUACAGCAUCUUCAGUAGUUGGAAACUAGUGAAUAUUUAUUUUUUCAUUUGUGUAGGUUAUUGAUGUUGCUUGCACCAUGUCCUUCUCUUGACUAACUUGCGUAGAUGUGACUUGUUCUAUAGGUUAUUGAUGUUGCUUGCACCAUGUCCUUCUCUUGACUAACUUGUGUAGAUGUGACUUGUUCUAUAGGUUAUUGAUGUUGCUUGCACCAUGUCCUUCUCUUGACUAACUUGUGUAGAUGUGACUUGUUCUUUAGGUUAUUGAUGUUGCUAGAACCAUGUCCUUCUCUUGACUAACUUGCGUAGGUGUGACUUGUUCUUUAGGUUAUUGAUGUUGCUUGCACCAUGUCCUUCUCUUGACUAACUUGUGUAGAUGUGACUUGUUCUUUAGGUUAUUGAUGUUGCUAGAACCAUGUCCUUCUCUUGUUUAACUUAAAGGAGGGGGGGGGAGGAGAGAGAGAUUCACUCUUAUUUAGAUUGUAACUAAUUUUUAAUGCAAUGGGACUACUGUCAUGAAAUCAUGUUUUAAUAAAAUUUGAUCCAACUGAUUA